rnacentral:tRNA from 1 species
GGUUUGUAGCUCAGUGGAUAGAGCGUCUGUCUCCGGAACAGAAGGUCGUGGGUUCGAUCCCCAUCAAGCCCACCAG